CUGCCUUAUCCUCUUGGUCAGUCAGGCAAAGGGGAAAAAUCCCCGCAGGCCGCAGACCAGGGCCUCCUCCUCCCUCCCCUCAACGUAGCGUCGCCACUCAUCCCGCCGCCACACCAACGACGGAGGUCGGAGCCACGUAUCACACUGCCACACCUCCACCGGUGGCCGGAAUCCGCCCAUCCCACCACCGCAUCAACGCCGGAGGUCGGAGCUGCCCAUCCUUGACUCCCUCCGCUGGUUGACCUUCGCGGCUCCGCACAAGGCGCCUUCUCCAAAGUUCAACACAUCCGGCCUGAUCUGAAAAACUGAAUCUAGUUUCUGCUCUUUCUGCGUUUCAUUUGCGCCGGCCGGGCUGAGCGCCGCCGGUCCCAUCCGCACCGGCCGGGGCCGCGGGGCGGCGCUGCAGGAUCUCAUUCGCACCGGAGGGGCAGAUCGAGAUGCGGAUGGUCCAGAGGCGAGAUGCGCUGUUGCAGGUCCACGAGUGGCAGGCCAUCACGUUCCUGUGACUUGCCUAUUACUGCAGUGGCACGAUUUGAGGCAACUUCCUCGGGGAAUAUUUUAGUUCAGAAUCGUUGGUCUAGCAGCAGCUAGGUGCCUAGGUAACAGCAGCUUGCACAAGUUAUUAUUGGAUGCAAGCUGAAAAAGAAUGUAACUAGCUAUUUUCAUGUGCUAAGAUUGUAACCUGAGAUUUUGUAUCUAAUAUGCUGUAAUUCUGAUAAAUGGGUUGCAAACAUUGUCUUUUGUGCUAAAAUGGCUACAGAAAAGGCUGUUAUGGUAAAUGUGCUAACUGUUUAAGUGGGUUGAAA